rnacentral:rRNA from 1 species
CCUACGGGAGGCAGCAGUAGGGAAUCUUCCACAAUGGGCGCAAGCCUGAUGCAGCAACACCGCGUGAGUGAAGAAGGGUUUCGGCUUGUAAAGCUCUGUUGUUGGAGAAGAACGUGCGUGCGAGUAACUGUUCAUGCAGUGACGGUAUCCAACCAGAAAGUCACGGCUAACUACGUGCCAGCCGCCGCGGUAAUACGUAGGCGGCACGCGUUAUCCGGAUUGAUUGGGCGUAAAGGGAGCGCAGGUGGUCGCUUAGGUCUGAUGUGAAAGCCUUCGGCUUAACCGAAGAAGUGCAUCGGAAACCGGGCGACUUGAGUGCAGAAGAGGAAAGUGGAACUCCAAGUGUAGCGGUGGAAUGCGUAGAUAUAAGGAAGAACACCAGUGGCGAAGGCGGCUUGCUGGACUGCAACUGACACUGAGGCUCGAAAGCAUGGGUAGCGAACAGGAUUAGAUACCCUAGUAGUC